UACGUAGGGUGCGAGCGUUAAUCGGAAUUACUGGGCGUAAAGCGUGCGCAGGCGGUUCGUUAAGUUCGUUGUGAAAGCCCCGGGCUCAACCUGGGAACUGCAAUGGAAACUGGCGAGCUUGAGUGUGGCAGAGGGGGGUGGAAUUCCGCGUGUAGCAGUGAAAUGCGUAGAGAUGCGGAGGAACACCGAUGGCGAAGGCAGCCCCCUGGGCCAAAACUGACGCUCAGGCACGAAAGCGUGGGGAGCAAACAGG
rnacentral:rRNA from 1 species